AUGCCUUUAAGAAGAACCUUUCUUCUUUAAUUUUCUAUGAUAAAAAUUAGAUCUAAUCUAAUUUCUUUAUGUAGAAAAUUAUAUAAAAUUUUAAACUCUAGAAGAACCCAAAAAAGGGACCCAAGUGAAGAACCAUUCUUCUCUCUUCUUCCUUUUUCUCCUUGAUUUAGAACUCUAGAAAGCCCCAAACUACAAACCAAAUUUUUUUAGUAUUUC
rnacentral:lncRNA from 1 species